CCGAAGCCGGGCCCCACAUCCUGCUGGUGGUGGGGUCCGAACCCGCAGUGCCUGAGAGCCCCGGCGGGCCUCCCCCUGCCGCCAGCGCCCCCAGGGGCGCGGUGUCCGCGGAGCCGGAGGAGGGGCCCUCCCCGGGCUGCUUUCGCUCUGCCUUGCCCUUCGACCCCUGGCACUGGCCUUGUGCACGAGACUCCGAAUAAAUGCCCUCUAAGACAAGAUUGCUUUGCCCGGGAGGAUCCCACGUGGGCGCACGAGGAGACAGACCCCUGCGAGGUGCUCCUGACCACAGUGGCAGGGGGAGUGGACAACCAGAGGCGAACUGAACGGAAGAACCGGAGUCUGUCCACACCUUGAACAGUAGGUCACCAUUAAAAGGCAUGAUCUAGAUUCAAAGCAGUGAUGAGCGGCACAGAGCACAGGGCCCAGUGGCAUCCCACAAUGGGCAUUCCGUGUACUUCCACCUCUUGGCUCUCGUAAUGCUGCCAUGAACAUGGGUGUGCAAAUAUCCUGAGAUCCUGUCUUCAAUUCUUUUGGAUAUGUAUACCCAAAAGAAAAUCGGAGGGUUUGAAGGACACGUGAUCAUACCACCAGAGCGCAGCCUGUCUUCUUUUGUGUAUAACACACACUAAUUCAUUCGUUCUGAAGCGUAUGUUCUUCUCACAUUUUAAAUUGGAAAUCGAGGUGACAACUGAUCACAGGUGAUGGAGUCGUACAUUUCAUUGGCAAUAUUUUUCCUUUUCAGUGGCACAUGAUGUUUUUUUUUUAAUUGCAGGAGAGUCAGACUUGUUUCUGCAUUUGUAUAUCCCAGGGUGUCCUGAGUGUCCUCGCUCACAGUUGUAGGGUGA